AGUGAACGCUGGCGGCAGGCCUAACACAUGCAAGUCGAACGGCAGCACAGGGGAGCUUGCUCCCUGGGUGGCGAGUGGCGGACGGGUGAGGAAUACAUCGGAAUCUACCCUUUCGUGGGGGAUAACGUAGGGAAACUUACGCUAAUACCGCAUACGAUCUGAGGAUGAAAGCAGGGGACCGCAAGGCCUUGCGCGAUUGGAUGAGCCGAUGUCCGAUUAGCUAGUUGGCGGGGUAAAGGCCCACCAAGGCGACGAUCGGUAGCUGGUCUGAGAGGAUGAUCAGCCACACUGGAACUGAGACACGGUCCAGACUCCUACGGGAGGCAGCAGUGGGGAAUAUUGGACAAUGGCGCAAGCCUGAUCCAGCCAUGCCGCGUGUGUGAAGAAGGCCUUCGGGUUGUAAAGCACUUUUGUUGGGAAAGAAAUCCUGUCGGCUAAUACCCGGCGGGGAUGACGGUACCCAAAGAAUAAGCACCGGCUAACUUCGUGCCAGCCGCCGCGGUAAGAC
rnacentral:rRNA from 1 species